rnacentral:SRP_RNA from 1 species
GCCGGGUGUGGUGGCUCACGCCUGUAAUCCCAGCACCUUGGGAGGCCGAGGUGAGAGGAUCACCUGAGGUCAGGAGUUCGAGACCAUCCUGGCCAACAUGGUGAAACCCCAUCUCUA